rnacentral:misc_RNA from 1 species
AAGUCGUAACAAGGUCUCCGUAGGUGAACCUGCGGAGGGAUCAUUAUUGAAUUUCCUUUGCCCUCGUGGCAAAGUCCCUUUCAAACACCUGUGAACCGGGCUUCGGCCAUAUCUUUUUUAAACAACGUAUCAAGAAAGUCUGUUUGGAAACUCUUCUGGGGUGACCUACAAAAAGUAAAUAAAAUACAACUUUUAGCAACGGAUCUCUUGGCUCUC